AACAACUUUCUUGUACGCUCAUGCUCUCUAGAGAUAUAACGGUGCCUGCCUUCAUGCUGACACCAGUCAUGAGGACUUUUAUUCAGAUUAAAGGAUUAUUGAAUGGUGUGCAGUUCGAUUCAGAAUCUUGAGAAUGAAGCAUGUCUUGAAGUUCUUCAGUAAGUUGUGAACAAAUGAGCUUCUUCCUGUUAUUGAUGGUGCUGUCUGAUCUUCUUUUCAAGGAUAAUCUGGUUCUGCUUACAUAGAUGGCAACUAAAUUUCAAUGAAGAAGGAAGACUACAGGUUGAGAGGCUGUGAUGUAUUAAUGGCAUAAGUGACAAUAAUGUGUUCUGCAAGUAUUUUAUUAGUUGCGACCUCUCCAUGAAAGGAUGUAGAGAUGAAAUUAAUUUAUCAAUAAUAAAUAUGGAAAUCAUGGAAAAGAGCGUUGCAGUGGAAGAAACCAGUGGGAGAAAAAUGCUCAUAGGUGUGGAUGGAGGCUUCCUGUCAGGAGUCCAUACGUGA
rnacentral:lncRNA from 1 species